ACAGUUUGGAUUUCAACCUCCUGAUUUAUAUGCAAGCUUUCCCCUAGCUGGCAUAAAACGAAAUUGCUGUGUGUAGUCUUUGCCUGUCUCCAAUGACGGGCCUUUUUUUGU
rnacentral:other from 1 species